UACGUAGGGACCGAGCGUUGUCCGGAAUCAUUGGGCGUAAAGCGUGCGCAGGCGGUCUGUUAAGACCGAUGUGAAAUCCCCGGGCUUAACCUGGGAACUGCAUUGGUGACUGGCAGGCUUUGAGUGUGGCAGAGGGAGGUAGAAUUCCACGUGUAGCAGUGAAAUGCGUAGAGAUGUGGAGGAAUACCGAUGGCGAAGGCAGCCUCCUGGGCCAACACUGACGCUCAUGCACGAAAGCGUGGGGAGCAAACAGG
rnacentral:rRNA from 1 species